UACGAAGGGGCUAGCGUUGCUCGGAAUUACUGAGCGUAAAGCGCACGUAGGCGGCUUUCUAAGUCGGGGGUGAAAUCCUGGAGCUCAACUCCAGAACUGCCUUCGAUACUGGAGAGCUUGAGUCCGGGAGAGGUGAGUGGAACUGCGAGUGUAGAGGUGAAAUUCGUAGAUAUUCGCAAGAACACCAGUGGCGAAGGCGGCUCACUGGCCCGAUACUGACGCUGAGGCACGAAAGCGUGGGGAGCA
rnacentral:rRNA from 1 species